AGCAGGUUUAUGUGAUGCUACAUUGUACCUUUGACUAUCUCUCAAGUGCAAAAACAAGGUCACAUUUGGGGAGGCUUGGUUAAGUAGUAUCAGAAUUUCAUUUACCUUGAAAACAGUUUUACCAACUGGAGCUUUCAAAAUAGUGGGUGAGGAGUUCCCCCAGUGGCUCAGUGGUUAACGAAUCCAACUAGGAACCAUGAGAUUAUGGGUCCGAUCCCUGGCCUCACUCAGUGGAUUAAGGAUUCAGCGUUGCCAUGAGCUGUGGUGUAGGUCGCAGAUGCGGCUCAGAUUUGGUGUUUCUGUGGCUGUGGUGUAGGCUGGUGGCUACAGCUCCGAUUCGACCCCUAGCCUGGGAGCCUCCAUAUGCCAUGGGAAGCGGCCCUAGAAAAGGCAAAAAAAAAAAAAAAAUAGUGGGUGAGUUGAGAAGAAGUGAACAAGGACCUGCCAAAUGCCACCCAUUUCCAGCAGGGACAAUGGGUCAUGUACUCCUGUAUCUUCCUAAGCAUUUGCCUAUGGGUUUGCUCAGUGUUCUCGUGGUUUCAGAGGAGGAAUAUGGCCUCAGAAACUCUGUUAGCUCUUUGUUUCUCAUAAUCAUUUUGAUUUGAUUUGACGUUUAGCAGUUUCAACUACAUGCUCAUUUAUGUCAUGACUCUUUUUUUUUGUUUUUUCUUUUCUGCAACAUCUCACUCAAAUGCAUGAUUUCCAGGCCCCCCCGCGCCGCCACCUCCCCAAGACAGUGCUCUUGCUCUGGGCUCCCGCCGGGCCUUCUGCUAACCCUGCUGCCCUAUAUUGAAUAACCUGGAGGAAAAGAUGCUUCUUUCUUUUGAGUGUCCUCUCAACCUCAAGCACCCAGAUCCCUAAGUCCUUUCCAUCAACCUUUGUCCUGGUCAUUUAAACUCCAUUAAACCUUUUAUUUCAGUAGUAAGCCACACUUUCACGUAUCAUAAAUUUUUUUUAUUGAUAAUGAUAAAAAAACAUGAUGUGUGAGAUUUUUUCCUAACGUAAUAUAAAGGCAUUAAGUAAGAAAAAAAAAUAUCCAAUCAGUUUAAUGGACCGGUGAUCAUCCCAGUUACCACCUUGGUUGUAGUCACUGGUCAAUUUUUGAACAAGUGGUAGCAAUGCUAAUGUUUUUAAAAAUAAGUGUUUUUUAGGAGUUCUCAUUGUGGCACAGCAGAAAUGAUUCUGACUAGUAAUCGUGAGGUUGAGUUUGAUCCCUGGCCUUGCUCGAUGGGUUAAGGAUCUGGCAUUGCCGUGAGCUGUGGUGUAGGUCGCAGAUGUGGCUCAGAGCCUGCAUUGCUGUGGCUGUGGUGUAGGCUGGCAGCCGUAGCUCCAAUUCGACCCCUAGCCUGCGAACCUCCGUAUGCCGUGGGUGCGGCCCUAAAAAUUGAUUUUAUUGAUGUAUAAUUGACCUAUGACACCAUGUUAGCUCCAGGGACAACUUAGUGAUUCACUAUCCAUAUAUUACAAAAUGAUCAGCAUGUUAGGUCUAGUUAUGACCUGUCAUCAUGCAAAGAUAUUAUAGUAUUAUGACUAUAUUCUCUAUUAUGUAUAUUUCAUCCCCAUGACUCAUUUAUUUUGUAACUGGAAGUUUGUACCUCUUAAUCUCUCUCACCUAUUUUUUUUUCUCCCCUUCCCCCCUCUGGCGACUACCUGUUUGUUCUCCAAAUCUUUGACUCUGUUUCUCUUUUGUUAUGUUCAUUACAUUUGUUCAUUUUUUUUUUUUUAGAUUCCAUGUAUAAGUGAAAUCAUAUAGCAUUUGUCUUUCUCUAUCUGAUUUAUUUUACUUAGCAUGAUACCCUUUAGGUCCAGCCAUGGCGCUGCAAAUGGCAGAAUUUCAUUGUUUUUAUGGCUGAGUAAUAUUCCAUUUCAUGUGUGUAUACACACACACAUACACACCCACAUGCAUGUGUGUUUCAUCAUCAGCCGGCACCAGAUAAAAGCACAGACACAAGGCCUGGGAAUAUAGGCAUGCCAUAGGUGUGGCCAAAAAAAAAUAGUACCCCUAUUACUCAUCCAUAAAAAAGAAUGAAAUAAUUAACAUUUGCAGCAACUAGGAUGGACCUAGAGAUGAUCAUAGUUGAGUGAAGUAAGCCAGACAAAGACAAAUAUCUUAUGUUAUCACAUAUGUGGAAUCUAAAAAAAAGACUGACACAAAUAAACUUAUAUAUAAAACAGAAAUAGACCCAUGGAUAUAGAAAACAAAUUGAUGGUUUCCAAAGGGGAGAGGAGAAGGAGGGAUAAAUUAGGAGUUUGGGAUUGUCAUAUACACAUUACUGUACAUAAAAUAGAGAAUCAACAAGGAACUACAGUAUAGCACAGGGAACUAUACUUAAUUUUUUUUAUUAUUUUGUUUAAGGCUGCAGGUGUGGCAUAUGGAAGUUGUCAGGCUAGGGGUUGAAUCGGAGCUGUAGCCACCGGCCUACGCCAGAGCCACAGCAAUGCGGGAUCCAAGCCGCGUCUGCAACCUACACCACAGCCCAUGGCAACGCCAGAUCGUUAACCCACUGAGCAAGGUCAGGGACCGAACCCGCAACCUCAUGGUUCCCAGUCGGAUUCGUUAACCACUGCGCCACGACGGGAACUCCAUCUCUCCUCUUUUCUAUCCUAUUUUCAGUACCUGCCCUCAGGACUGAAAUGAGAUUUUUGUCUUGAAAGUCAGCUUUUAAUGUUUUAGGAGUUCCUGCUGUGGCACAAUGGUAUUGAGGCGUUUCUGGAAUGCUGGGACAAGGGUUCAAUCCCUGGCCCAGCACAGUGGGUUAAGGAUCCUGCAUUGCCCCAGCUGUGGCACAGGUCACAACAGCAGCUUGGGUCUGAUCCCUGGCCCAGGAACUCCAUACGCUGCAAGGCAGCCAAAAAAUAAAUGAAUAAAAAUUAAAAAAAAAAAAAAAAAAAAAA
rnacentral:lncRNA from 1 species